UACUAAUACGUUCUCUAAGUGUGGUGGUAGUUUUGCCCACAUAGUUUAGGCCACAGGGACAUGUAAUGAUAUCAACCACAAAAGUUGAAGUAGCUUAGUCUGUGGUUAAUUUUAUGUCUUUUGCAGAAUGGGGUGAGGAAAUUCCGGUCCACUGAGCAAGCAACUACAAGUUGUGCAAUCAGCACUCCAUUUUUUAUGUUUAGACAACCAGUUAGAGGGAACAGAGGUGUCAAAUAGAGGACAUCGUGGACAGGCUGGUUUUUGGAAGGGCUGUUCGGGUGAAAAGUUCCUGUCUGGAAUUCCAAAUUUUAAAUUGAAGUUAAUGACAUGGAGAUCAGCCAAUCGAUAAUCGCCACAUCAUCAGUCCUGCCCCCAACGUCACUGGUCUGCCCCCAACGUCAUUGACUGCCCUCCCAACGUCACUGACCUGCCCCCAAUGUCACUGGCCCAGCCCCCAAUGUCAUCUGCCCUGCUCCCUGCCCAGUUUCCAGGAACUAAAAAGAUGGCAACCCUAGGUGCAACAGAUACACAAUAAUUCAGUUGUAUUGCCAUAUGUGAUACAGACUGCGAUCUAAAAAUGUCACAACUUGCAACCGUUUCAUAAAAAUUAAUAUGUGCAAUCACAAGUGUUGAAACCGGGGGGGGGGGGGGGCAAGGGGACCAUGCCCCGCCCCCAGAAUUCCCACCCGGUUUUGUAAACUGCAGGCAUGUCAUAUUUUUUUGUCUUUCCCACUUUUUUUGUCUGGACCGGUGAUGGCCAUUGUCAGGUCUGGACUGGGAGUCAAAACAGCUCCUGGCAUUCCAAGUACAGCAUGGCCUAAAUAGUCCCCCCUCACCAGCCCAAUAAAUAGUGACUGUCUAUGGCGUCUUACAGCAGCCCCUCUGGCAUUUGCCAGAACUUACAGUUUGCCAGUCCGGGUCUGGCAAUUGUCAUUAUAUCACUUCACUUAAAACAUGAAUAUGAAAUGUGGAAUGUAGUUCCAGGGACAAAGAAGUCAGGGAACAGGAAGCAGGCUGAACAGAUCUGUGUCUCGUUGUGCUGAUUGCAAAAGAUAUAAAGCUUUAUUUUGGCUUUAUAUCUUUUGCAAAGUGAUGUAGGGAAAUGUGUCUGAUUCAUAAAUUAGGCUUUUUAUCUCAAGGAUACAUAUUCUUUAUUUUUACUACCCAAAUCUCUAGCCGGUUCAUACUGUUUCUGUUUUACUUAUUUUGUGACUGUAGCAUCCCUCUGUUAGAAUGUGUGUCUAUUCAAAUUAAACUGUGGGUUUUGGAGAGUUUCUGGACUAUGUAUAAGCCUUUUUAAAUAAGAUUAUUGCCAUUUCAUGAGCUAUAGGAAGUCAGAAAGUGUACCAGCUAACCUCAUUAGAACUUAAUUAAUGCCACAUAAUUUCAUUUUAAUGUUUCUGUUGAUGAAUAUACUGCAGUGUUAUUUAAGUCACAAUGAAAACAUCUUGGCUAUCCAGCAAAUUUCCAAUUUCUUGCCUUGAAGUUAGGUUAGAUGUAAUGUAUUGUUUCCCUACAUCCCAGCAUGAACCUUAAAAGACCUCAGAAAAAUCAGAAUACAUUUCUUGUAGCUAUAAUGAGCUCAUUUUCCUGUAAUUUAGCCUCUUUUUAAAACUCAAUUAAUUUCUCACUUAGAAAUGAACAGCUAUUUAGAGAUCUGAGAUUGAGAAGCUGAGGUCCAGAUCUAUUUGAACAAUGGCUACAUAAACUUCAACUUGGUUAUUAUGUCAAGCAAUUCUAAUUUCAUUCUACCUGUCUCUUGAUCACCUUGCUUCAUAAUAUUAUAAUCAUCUAAGUUCUGGUGUUGCCAUUUGUUUUUGUAUUUAAUACUUUAAAAACUACCUUGUGCUUCGCAGAUUUGAGUACCAUCACACUGGUAUUCUUAGGUUUCCGUUAUUAAAUAAAGUUUUUGAAAACCUA